rnacentral:rRNA from 1 species
GAUGAACGCUGGCGGCGUGCUUAACACAUGCAAGUCGAACGGAAAGGCCCAAGUUUGCUUGGGUACUCGAGUGGCGAACGGGUGAGUAACACGUGGGAGAUCUGCCCUGCACUUCGGGAUAAGCCUGGGAAACUGGGUCUAAUACCGGAUAGGCCCACUUCGUGGGUGUUGUGGUGGAAAGUUUUUUCGGUGUGGGAUGAGCUCGCGGCCUAUCAGCUUGUUGGUGGGGUAAUGGCCUACCAAGGCGUCGACGGGUAGCCGGCCUGAGAGGGUGUACGGCCCCAUUUGGACUGAGGAACGGCCCAGACUCCUACGGGGGGCAGCAGUGGGGAAUAUUGCACAAUGGGCGCAAGCCUGAUGCAGCGAAGCCGGGUGGGGGGUGACGGCCUUCGGGUUGUAAACUCCUUUCGCUAGGGGCGAAGCGUUUUGUGACGGUACCUGGAGAAGAAGCACCGGCUAACUACGUG